rnacentral:rRNA from 1 species
CCUACGGGAGGCAGCAGUGGGGAAUAUUGGGCAAUGGACGCAAGUCUGACCCAGCAACGCCGCGUGAAGGAAGAAGGCUUUCGGGUUGUAAACUUCUUUUAAGGGGGAAGAGCAGAAGACGGUACCCCUUGAAUAAGCCACGGCUAACUACGUGCCAGCAGCCGCGGUAAUACGUAGGUGGCAAGCGUUGUCCGGAUUUACUGGGUGUAAAGGGCGUGCAGCCGGAGAGGCAAGUCAGAUGUGAAAGCCGCGGUCUCAACUCGCGAACUGCAUGGCUGGAGUGCGGGAGGGGCAGGCGGAAUUCCUGGUGUAGCGGUGAAAUGCGUAGAUAUCAGGAGGAACACCGGCGGCGAAGGCGGCCUGCUGGACUGCGACUGACGUUGAGGCUCGAAAGCGUGGGGAGCGAACAGGAUUAGAUACCCCUGUAGUC